rnacentral:rRNA from 1 species
AUUGAACGCUGGCGGCAGGCUUAACACAUGCAAGUCGAGCGGGGUGAUGGUGCUUGCACUAUCACUUAGCGGCGGACGGGUGAGUAAUGCUUAGGAAUCUGCCUAUUAGUGGGGGACAACAUCUCGAAAGGGAUGCUAAUACCGCAUACGUCCUACGGGAGAAAGCAGGGGAUCACUUGCGACCUUGCGCUAAUAGAUGAGCCUAAGUCGGAUUAGCUAGUUGGUGGGGUAAAGGCCUACCAAGGCGACGAUCUGUAGCGGGUCUGAGAGGAUGAUCCGCCACACUUGGACUGAGACACGGCCCAGACUCCUACGGGAGGCAGCAGUGGGGAAUAAUGGACAAUGGGGGGAACCCUGAUCCAGCCAUGCCGCGUGUGUGAAGAAGGCCUUAUGGUUGUAAAGCACUUUAAGCGAGGAGGAGGCUCUUUUGGUUAAUACCCAAGAUGAGUGGACGUUACUCGCAGAAUAAGCACCGGCUAACUCUGUGCCAGCCGCCGCGGUAA